rnacentral:rRNA from 1 species
AAACUAUACAAUGCGGGAAACCGCGAUAAGGGGAUACCGAGUGCCAGCAUAUUAUGUUGGCUGUCCACAUGUGUAAACGGCAUGUGUUAGCAAGGGCCGGGCAAGACCGGUGCCAGCCGCCGCGGUAACACCGGCGGCCCGAGUGGUAAUCAUUUUUAUUGGGUCUAAAGGGUCCGUAGCCGGUUUGAUCAGUUCUUCGGGAAAUCUGACAGCUCAACUGUUAGGCUUCCGGGGAAUACUGUCAGACUUGGGACCGGGAGAGGUAAGAGGUACUACAGGGGUAGGAGUGAAAUCUUGUAAUCCCUGUGGGACCACAAGUGGCGAAGGCGUCUUACCAGAACGGGUCCGACGGUGAGGGACGAAAGCUGGGGGCACGAACCGGAUUAGAUACCCGGGUAGUCCCAGCCGUAAACGAUGUUCGCUAGGUGUCAGGGACGGUGCGACCGUUUCUGGUGCCGUAGGGAAGCCGUGAAGCGAACCACCUGGGAAGUACGGCCGCA